AUUGAACGCUGGCGGCAUGCCUUACACAUGCAAGUCGAACGGCAGCAUGAUCUAUCUUGCUAGAUUGAUGGCGAGUGGCGGGCGGGCUAGUAAUACAUCGGAACUUGCCCUGUGGUGGGGGUUAACUAGUCGAAAGAUUAGCUAAUACCGCAUACUACUUGAGGUUGAAAGUGGGGGCGCGCAAUUCCUCAUGCUAUAGGGUCGGCGCAUGUCUGAUUAGCUAGUUGGGGCGGGACAGGGUCACCAAGGCGACGAUCAGGAGCUGGUCUGAGAGGACGAUUAGACACAUGGGGAGUGAGAAACGGCCGCGACUCCUACGGGAGGCCGCAGUGGGGAAUCUUGCACAAUGGGCGAAAGCCUGAUACAGCAAUGCCGCGUGUGUGAAGAAGGACUUCGGGUUGUAAAGCAAUUUUGUCCGGAAAGAAAUGGAUCUGGUUAAUACCUGAGGUUGAUGACGGUACCGGAAGAAUAAGCACCGGCUAACUACGUG
rnacentral:rRNA from 1 species